UGUAAGCAAAGCACACCAGGAAAUUGAAAAAAAAAAAAGGACGACCCCACAAGUUGGCGGCCGCUCUUUUGGUUUUGUUGUUGUUCUUUCCCCCUCCCCCUCCCCACCCCUUUCUCUUUUCGUAGGGUACGUGUGCUGUCCCCUUCACCCACCACCGUCUCGUGCCCGUUUCUUUCUUUUGUCUUUUUCAUCUUCACUUGCCUUGGCUGUGGAUGAGUGUCACACAUGCGUGGUAAAACGCAAUCGGUAUGUGCACAUAGGAAAGAGGAGAGUCUAAUGAGUGUGUGUCACCAUCUGCCGAGGUCGCUCUCUCGCUCCCUCUCUCCGACACACAUACACACACACGCACACGGUUUUUCCUAGUGUGUGGGUGAGUGUGUGGUCUCGUCCGCAUAUUUGUUCUUUGUUUUCCUUUUUCAGUUCGCUUCGUCACCGUCCUUUCUCAUCCCCCUCGACUCCACCCUUUCAGCCCUCCGUGCACAUGCCUCCUGCCGCCGUCUUUUUUUUUUGGUGGUUUUGAGGAGCCGAAGCUGGUAAACAUUUUGGGGGCGCACACGCACACGCCAAGCAAGGAAACUGCAUUGCUCACUCUCAUCCCCCAUGGUGUUUCACCUCGCGCACCGUUUGUUUGGAGCCUGCGUGCAACCCCCCCACACACACACACACAAAAAAAAAAGGAGGAAACCCGAAAGUAAAACAAUGCAAAGAAGCUGAUACAUACGCUGCGUGUAUUCGCGCAUGUGAGUGUGUGUGUGUGUGUGCUGGGCUAUGGGAAGCGGCGUAAAGUGCACAGAUGCCCGCCCCCUCUCUCCGCCGCGGUCGAUCAUCGUGGUUAAAGGAAGAGGAGCGAAAGUGGAGAGGGAGAGCGCCGGUGCAGGGAAGGGGUAGGUUGCCCAUGGAUCGUGAGCGCUAUCCAUUACCUGCUCGCGUAUGUGUUUUGCGCGUAAGUAUCCGGACGGGACUCGCCGCCGCAGGCAUAACCUGCAGCUCUCCCUCCCUUCCUCAAAGGGGCGCCUCUUUUCCUUUUAUUUUUGCCAUAUCAACAGCGGCAAAAACGGCAAGUAUGCACCACUUGACCUCUCACUACUCCUUCUGUGCUUCAUGUCCCUCUCUGUUCUUGUCAAG
rnacentral:misc_RNA from 1 species